rnacentral:rRNA from 1 species
AUUGAACGCUGGCGGCAGGCUUAACACAUGCAAGUCGAGCGGGGUGAUGGUGCUUGCACUAUCACUUAGCGGCGGACGGGUGAGUAAUGCUUAGGAAUCUGCCUAUUAGUGGGGGACAACAUCUCGAAAGGGAUGCUAAUACCGCAUACGUCCUACGGGAGAAAGCAGGGGAUCACUUGUGACCUUGCGCUAAUAGAUGAGCCUAAGUCGGAUUAGCUAGUUGGUGGGGUAAAGGCCUACCAAGGCGACGAUCUGUAGCGGGCCUGAGAGGAUGAGCCGGCACACUGGGAAUGAGACACGGACCAGACUCCUACGGGAGGCAGCAGUGGGGAAUAUUGGACAAUGGGGGGAACCCUGAUCCAGCCAUGCCGCGUGUGUGAAGAAGGCCUUAUGGUUGUAAAGCACUUUAAGCGAGGAGGAGGCUCUUUUGGUUAAUACCCAAGAUGAGUGGACGUUACUCGCAGAAUAAGCACCGGCUAACUCUGUGCCAGCCGCCGCGGUAA